UACAACCCCUUUGGAUAAUCAAUUUAAUCAGAUUCUAACCGAUGCUUCCAUGGCCGAAAGGGCUGCAGAAUGGGGGUUGGUAGUCAAUUCAGAGUUAGCAAUAGGCAAUCCCAAAGCAGUAGGACUAAGGUCGUCGGAGAUAAAGGCAAAAAUUCAGCAGAGUAAUCCAUGGAAUUUAUAAGGUUAUCUGAAGAAUUUGGAUCUGAUUCGGAGUUCCCGAGAGUCUCACAAGAGCUGAAGGAUGCAUUGGCUA